GACGUAGGGCGCGAGCGUUGUCCGGAUUUAUUGGGCGUAAAGAGCUCGUAGGCGGCUUGUCGCGUCGUCCGUGAAAACCUGGGGCUCAACCCCAGGCUUGCGGUCGAUACGGGCAGGCUCGAGUUCGGUAGGGGAGACUGGAAUUCCUGGUGUAGCGGUGAAAUGCGCAGAUAUCAGGAGGAACACCGGUGGCGAAGGCGGGUCUCUGGGCCGAUACUGACGCUGAGGAGCGAAAGCGUGGGGAGCGAUCCGG
rnacentral:rRNA from 1 species